rfam:Chryseobacterium sp. MOF25P AB670_contig000056, whole genome shotgun sequence.
CAUAGGAAUAAAUUCCUACGCUCUGUUAAAUCGUCCCUUCGGGACU